GUUUCACCAUGUUGGCCAGGCUGGUCUUGAAGUCCUAAUCUCAGGACAGGACAUCAAUGUCACCUGUAACGUCCGGUGCACUGGGACACAGAGCUGCAUCUCCAGUCUCAGGCAUUCUUUAUACCUGUGUGAAAACGGACUAAUACAGCAAUGGAUCAGCCUUGUCCUGUGAAACCCACCUCCGUGAUCAUGGUAUCUCC